rnacentral:rRNA from 1 species
AGAGUUUGAUCCUGGCUCAGGAUGAACGCUAGCGGCAGGCUUAAUACAUGCAAGUCGAGGGGGAUUAGCUGGGUAGCAAUACCCGGCUAUGAGACCGGCAAACGGGUGCGGAACACGUACGCAACCUUCCCAAAAUUGGUGAAUAGCCCUCCGAAAGGAGGAUUAAUACACCGUAACAUACAGAGAUGGCAUCAUCUUUA